rnacentral:rRNA from 1 species
AGAGUUUGAUCCUGGCUCAGGAUGAACGCUAGCGGCAGGCUUUACACAUGCAAGUCGAGGGGUAACGAAUAGAUUGCUUGCAAUCUAUGUCGACGACCGGCGCAAGGGUGCGUAACGCGUGAGCAACAUGCCUAUUUCAGGAGGAUAAUCCAUGGAAACGUGGUCUAAUACUCCAUAGUAAAUAUAUAUCACAUGAUAUACAUUUUAAAACUUCGGUGGAAAUAGAUUGGCUCGCGUGACAUUAGCUAGAUGGAGAGGUAACGGCUCACCAUGGGCGACGAUGUCUAGGGGUUCUGAGAGGAAGAUCCCCCACACUGGAACUGAGACACGGUCCAGACUCCUACGGGAGGCAGCAGUGAGGAAUAUUGGACAAUGGAUGGAAAUCUGAUCCAGCCAUGCCGCGUGAAGGAUUACAGUCCUAUGGAUUUUAAACUUCUUUUGUAAGAGAGUAAUAAGGUCUACGAGUAGAUCGAUGAAAGUAUCUUACGAAUAAGCACCGGCUAACUCCGUGCCAGCAGCCGCGGUAAUACGGAGGGUGCAAGCGUUAUCCGGAUUUAUUGGGUUUAAAGGGUGCGUAGGCGGUAUAUUAAGUCAGUGGUG